rnacentral:rRNA from 1 species
CUCGGCAACGGAUAUCUCGGCUCUCGCAUCGAUGAAGAACGUAGCGAAAUGUGAUACUUGGUGUGAAUUGCAGAAUCCCGUGAACCAUCGAGUCUUUGAACGCAAGUUGCGCCCGAAGCCAUUAGGCUGAGGGCACGUCUGCCUGGGCGUCACGC